AGGUGAAGAACUCUGGAAUGACUCUUCGCCCAAAAGACGUUUACACUACGCUUGUAGGCGUUGCCCAAGGAUGGGGCCGCGACCGAUCAGGUAGUUGGUGAGGCNNCGGCUCACCAAGCCUUUUACCGGUGCGAGCCGUGGGAGCGGGAGCCCGGAGAUGGGCACUGAGACAAGGGCCCAGGCCCUACGGGGCGCAGCAGUCGCGAAAACUUUGCAAUACACGAAAGUGUGACAGGGCUAUCCCGAGUGCCAUCCGCUGAGGAAGGCUUUUACCCAGUAUAAAUCGCUGGGGGAAUAAGGAGAGGGCAAGACCGGUGUCAGCCGCCGCGGUAAUACCAGCUCUCCGAGUGGUGUGGAUGUUUAUUGGGCCUAAAGCAUCCGUAGCUGGCUGGACAAGUCCCCUGUUAAAUCCACCGAUUUAAUCGUUGGUGUGCGGGGGAUACUGUUCGGCUAGGGGACGAGAGAGGCCGACGGUAUUUCCGGGGUAGGGGUGAAAUCCUAUAAUCCCGGGAAGACCACCAGUGGCGAAGGCUGUCGGCUAGAACGCGCCCGACGGUGAGGGAUGAAAGCUGGGGGAGCGAACCGGAUUAGAUACCCGGGUAGUCCCAGCUGUAACGAUGCAGGCUAGGUGUUUGAACGGCCACGUGCCGUUCUAGUGCCGCAAGGAAGCUGUUAAGCCUGCC
rnacentral:rRNA from 1 species